UGUAAGCGUGCAGCGUACGCUGACACAGUGCGGAACGUACGCAGUCCUGUUUAUCAAAGCGAAUAAUGCCGACCAUUUCGUCUUCCUCGAAACGCUGCAGCGCAUCGUUCAGGCCCGAUUCCACCCCGCGCGGCAAGUCGCACUGGGUGAUAUCGCCGUUGACGAUCACCGUCACGUUCUCCCCCAGGCGGGUG
rnacentral:antisense_RNA from 1 species